UACGUAGGGCGCAAGCGUUGUCCGGAAUUAUUGGGCGUAAAGAGCUCGUAGGUGGCGUGUCGCGUCUGCCGUGAAAGCCCAUGGCUUAACUGUGGGCGUGCGGGCGAUACGGGCAGACUGGAGUACUGCAGGGGAGACUGGAAUUCCUGGUGUAGCGGUGGAAUGCGCAGAUAUCAGGAGGAACACCGGUGGCGAAGGCGGGGUCUCCUGGAGC
rnacentral:rRNA from 1 species